UACGUAGGGUGCGAGCGUUGCCCGGAUUUAUUGGGCGUAAAGGGCGCGUAGGCGGCCACGCACGUCCGUUGUGAAAUCGCUCGGCUCAACUGGGCGGGGUCAGCGGAUACGGUGUGGCUAGAGCAAGCUAGGGGGCAAUGGAAUUCCCGGUGUAGUGGUGGAAUGCGUAGAUAUCGGGGAGGAACACCAGUGGCGAAGGCGGUUGCCUGGAGCUUUGCUGACGCUGAUGCGCGAAAGCGUGGGGAGCGAUCCGG
rnacentral:rRNA from 1 species